AAAAAAGCAAGAAAAAAAUUGCAAAAAAUGGGGCGUGGCAUGGCAACAAAUGUGCAUAAUGAGCUACGGUCGGACCAGGCUGGCAGCAAGAGCUGCGAGUGGAGGCAGUACGGAACGGGGCGUGGCAGGGGCUAAACACUUUUCAGUUGAUAUCGCAAAUCCUUUUUUACAGCGCUUACAUAAUGAUAUGUGGGCAACGGCUUUUUUCCCCAAAGUCCAGCUGCUGCGGUCUGCGCGGGCGGAGCAGGAGGCGGGCAGGGGAAGGCAGGCGGAGGCAGGUGGCAGCUGGCAUUUGCAUGCAAUUUGCGUGAUGGAAGGUGAGGGGAGGGGGAGAGAGGCGACCAUGAUAGAGCUGAUAAGAAACCGGAGCGAAGCCUGAAACUAAGCGGAACUGUCCGUCCGUCCAGCUGGAGGAAUCGCGCACAAAAAACCCGAUGACUAAAAAUGUUGCUAGUUCACUU